AGAUUAAGAGCUUGCUCUUAUGAUCAGCGGCGGACGGGUGAGUAACACGUGAGCAACCUGCCUUUCAGAGGGGGACAACAGUUGGAAACGACUGCUAAUACCGCAUAAGACCACGAAACCGCAUGGUUUUGAGGUAAAAACUCCGGUGGUGUGAGAUGGGCCCGCGUCUGAUUAGCCAGUUGGCAGGGUAACGGCCUACCAAGGCGACGAUCAGUAGCCGGUCUGAGAGGAUGAACGGCCACACUGGAACUGAGACACGGCCCAGACUCC
rnacentral:rRNA from 1 species